CCCAGGCCCGUGCUCUAUCCACUACUCCAUGCUCCUUCUCUAGUAAAUAAACUCUAAGAUGAUAUAAUCUAGAUUUAUCUUUCUAAAGAUUUUCUAAUAAAUCCUCAUAUGAAAUUUCAAUUUUGUGAGAGAAGCUGCUAAUGAAUAGAGAAUAUUCUUUUAGGGGUUUUCAUUUGAAUGUGCUCUUUAGCAUGCAAAGAUGAUCUGUUCAAUUAACAGUAUGUUUUGUAUUCACUCUUAUUUUUAUAGGCAUUCCACUUAAAACGAGCCUAAAUUACACUACAACAGUUCAAUAUGGAAGGCAUCUUCAUCACCUUAUAGAACUAGCAGGAUACGCUGUGAAAGAAUUUAAUCCUCAAGAUGCCCUAACUCUUCUGAGGAUUAGAACAGAGAAAUAUGAAAUCUUGGUGAUCCCAGCUAAGGAAUAUCUUCUUGCCGUUCUUCAGGAUCCAUAUGAAUAGACCUUCUGCAGUAUUAAUCUUGCAUUCAUGAAACUAUACUUUGAAAAAGGCUCAGGUUUUCAUUGUGGGCCUUACUGUUACUGAAUUUACCAGUAUAUUGAGCUUGUUUUUACUAAAACACUCUCUAGCACAGCUUCUUAGAUUUUGUUUCUGGUUGUAUUUUAGAACUGUGCUUUAGCAAGAUAUCAUACACAGAUCAAAAUCUGAUGUGAGUCCCCAAGCUUAAUGACUAAUGUAAUAAAAAUGAAUCUGUGCAAGAUGCUCCCCGAA